UGCAGCUUGCCGUGAACCAGACCUGUCCCUCCUCCCUCGGAGGGGACGCCGGGGGCAUCCCAGGGCCCAGGUGACAGAGGGAGAGGUCUGUGGCUUGCAAAGCUGGUUCCACUUUUCCAAGUCGCUUCCUGUGAGCUCGGUGACCGUCUCUUCAUCUGCAGUCACCUUGUCUGUGGCUCGAGGUCACCUGGCUGCGUGGCGCCAGGGGCACCCCUCUCAGGACGCCAACUGUAGCCCACAUGGGUCGCGGGAUCCGCCCAGGGGCUCCUCCUUCUGGGAAAUUACGUUUCUCAGUUAUUGGAAAUUCGUGAAAUAGAGACUCGGAAAGGAAAUCUCUAGCUGCCCCCCCCCCGGGUCGCUUUCUCUGGUUUGAAGUUUUAUGAAGAAGUUGCAACGCACCGAGUGCGCGAUUCAGAUCCUGCUAUUCCAAAAGGAAAUGGGGUUUUCACAGCACUGCAGAAUCUUCUUGGUAUUAUUUUUAACUGUUGCCUCUUCUGUCACACACCCCUGUGUUUCCCCAAUUCUUGGCUCUUUCCCUCUUCCUUAAUAAUAGAAACCUCAAGCUUUGGCAGGGCCUCCCCCCACCCAUCCAUGCCCAAAAAAAAGGGGGGGGGACUUUACUUCCCAGCCUCUUUUGCAGCUAGGUGUGCCCACGGACUAAGUUCUGGCCAGUGAAUAUAAAUAACUUCCAAAUGGUGUCCCUAGAGAGGAGGGGGCCUCCUCUUCUUCCCAUCCUCCCCAUUGGCUGGAAUGUAGAUGUGAUGGCCACAACCUGAGUGGCCAUCUUGGGCCAAUGUGGGGCAACCCCGAACAGGAACUGGGAAUCCUGGUGAAUCUUUGAAGCCACUUCCACAAUUUGUUCAGGUAAAAGAGAAACAGUCUUCUCUUUCAUUUGGGAUUUGUCAUUUCGUCUUUUCUGACUCAAAGACAAAACUCAUCCUAACCUUGCACCAGGAAUUGGUGAAGGAAUCUGGUUUUUCUCUUGCGAUCCUGUCCCCACUGACUGGGCACCUGGUGGUCCCCACUUCUCAAGCCUCUCGCUGACUCUGCUGUGAACCUCUGUGUCACCAUCUGUGAUCAUUCCCUAGUACAGAGUCCCAGAAGGCAGCUCUGGAUUCAAACCUCUCACGCCUGUCACCCCCUGCCCCCAGCAGCUCGGCUGACACAGGUGUCCCUCCCUGGCAGGGAGGCCCCAUUCUGGAGCCAGGACAAAGGUCCCAGCUUUCGAACUCAUGUCCUCCA
rnacentral:lncRNA from 1 species